rnacentral:tRNA from 1 species
GCGGAAGUGGCGGAACUGGUAGACGCGCUGGGUUCAGGGUCCAGUGUCGCGAGACGUAGGGGUUCGACUCCCCUCUUCCGCACCA